rnacentral:misc_RNA from 1 species
UUUCCGUAGGUGAACCUGCGGAAGGAUCAUUAACAAAUCCAUGUUGUUGUUGUUUUGAUUGUCUUUGUUGGUGUAUAUGUCAUGUUUGUUCAGAUUCUGUUCAAGUAUGUGUGUACAUUGACGAUGCAUUCAUUACAAACAAACACAUUAGUUCCAUAUAUGUGUACACAUUCGUUCAUUCGUCUUGUGUGCACAUAUUGUGGUACAUUCUACGAAUCGUCUGAUUUAUUCAUUUCAAAUCAUAUUAAACAAUAACUUUUAACAAUGGAUCUCUAGGCUCUU